rnacentral:lncRNA from 1 species
AGCACACAAGUGUAUAUUGAGGUGACUCAUUCUCUCUACUAUUACAAUGUCACACAAAUUAACUUUGCCUUUCAUUUAACCACAAUCAAUCAUACUCACAAGCAAGUUAUCAUCACAAGGACUUUUUAUGGCUUGUAACGUGGUUGGGCUAAGAAGAACAUUGGUUUUUCUGGAUCACAAAAUCCUUGAGUUAAGAGAGUUAUUCACAUUUAUAAUUUAAGCACAAACUCUCUUUAAACAACCAAUCUCACUCAUUCCCAACUUCCCAUUUUCUUUGCAUUGAGUUUUUCUUCUCAUUUUAUCCUUUUUUUUUCCUAUCUUUUUCAUUUUUUUAUGCUUUGCUCAACACAUUAGCUCAAUGCUUAUCUUUUUCUUUUUCAACUUUCCCAACAGCCCCA